GACAGAGGGUGCAAACGUUGUUCGGAAUUACUGGGCGUAAAGCGCGUGUAGGCGGCCCUGCAAGUCGGAUGUGAAAUCCCACGGCUCAACCGUGGAAGUGCAUUCGAAACUGCAGGGCUAGAGUCCUGGAGAGGAAGGUGGAAUGCUUGGUGUAGAGGUGAAAUUCGUAGAUAUCAAGCGGAACACCGGUGGCGAAGGCGGCCUUCUGGACAGUGACUGACGCUGAGACGCGAAAGCGGUGGGGAGCAAAC
rnacentral:rRNA from 1 species